UACGGAGGGUGCAAGCGUUAAUCGGAAUUACUGGGCGUAAAGCGCACGCAGGCGGUUGGAUAAGUUAGAUGUGAAAGCCCCGGGCGUCAACCUGGGAAGUUGCAUUUAAAACUAGUCCAGCUAGAGUCUUGUAGAGGGGGGUAGGAAUUCCAGGUGUAGCGGUGAAAUGCGUAGAGAUCUGGAGGAAUACCGGUGGCGAAGGCGGCCCCCUCGGACGAAAGAACUGACGCUCAGGUGCGAAAGCGU
rnacentral:rRNA from 1 species